rnacentral:hammerhead_ribozyme from 1 species
CAUUGCUGACGAGUCCUACACAGGGCGAAACAGCUGUCCAGGGG